UAAAGAUUGCUUUUAUAGAUUUAAAAUUUGAUUAUGGUUUUUGAAUUGUUAAAAUAAUAUUAUUUAAGUUUAAUUUAUUUAGUGGGCAAUGUUAAUUUACCCCGGUAAUUAAUUAUUUGUAUAAUACUUGUUCCAGAAUAAUCGGCUAGGCUUGUUAAAAUUUAAACUUUAUUUUGUUUUAAUUAUAAUUUUAGUUAAUAAUUUAUUUAAUUAUAGGUUAAAUUUUAAUUAAUUGAAAGUUAAGAAUUAUAAUUUUAAGUUUCGGGAAACGAAUUAGAUUAGUACCUAAUUAGUCGAAAGUUAAAAGAGCAGGAGUAAAGUGGCAUUUAAACUGAAAGAAUAUUGGCAGAUUUUCUAAAUUAUCUUUGGAGGUUGAGUGAUAAUUGAGAACCCUCAUUAACUACUUUUUUGUUAGUCUCAUGUAUGAUCGUUUAUUUUAUACUUAAGGUAUAUAAUAAAAAAUUUUUGUUUAGUAAAAUAGAUAUAUAUUUGGUUUAUGUAAAAGUUUAAUUUGACCUACAAUAGUUUAUGUUUGUGGAUUUGCAGUUUAGUAAUUGUAAUGAAAAUGUAAAAGACAGUAAAAAAAUUUUUUAUGAUUUUUUGAAGAUUAUUUAGAUGUGGUACAAAUCAUCCAUCAAUUGCCCAAAGGGGAGUAAGUUGUAGUAAAGUAGAUUUAGGGGAACCUUAAUCUAAUAAU
rnacentral:ncRNA from 1 species